UACGUGAGGGGCGAACGUUGUUCGGUGUCACUGGGCUUAAAGGGCGCGUAGGUGGUCGCAUAAGUAAGGUGUGAAAUCCCUCGGCUUAACCGAGGAACUGCGUCCGAUACUGAAAGGCUUGAAUCCGGGAGAGGGAUGUGGAAUUCCAGGUGUAGCGGUGAAAUGCGUAGAUAUCUGGAGGAACACCGGUGGCGAAGGCGGCAUCCUGGACCGGUAUUGACGCUGAGGCGCGAAAGCUAGGGGAGCAAACGGG
rnacentral:rRNA from 1 species